UACGUAGGGUGCGAGCGUUGUCCGGAAUUAUUGGGCGUAAAGAGCUCGUAGGCGGUUUGUCACGUCUGCUGUGAAAACUGGAGGCUCAACCUCCAGCCUGCAGUGGGUACGGGCAGACUAGAGUGCGGUAGGGGAGAUUGGAAUUCCUGGUGUAGCGGUGGAAUGCGCAGAUAUCAGGAGGAACACCGGUGGCGAAGGCGGAUCUCUGGGCCGAUACUGACGCUGAGGAGCGAAAGCGUGGGGAGCGAACAGG
rnacentral:rRNA from 1 species